AGUGGCUCUUCAUGACAUUUUUGUAAACGGCCAUGAAGUGCUGCAGAGAGGGCUGUCCCUCUGGCACUUUGUCCCAUCUCUGUCAGGCUCCAUUAGAGUGAGCGCUUGGUUCUUAGUCUCCUCCGUGGCCAAGUUUGGCUCAACAUCCAGCACUACAGUCAUGCCGAUCUUCGAUUCUAUAGCUAUUUUUUAAUAUCCUUCUCUGGACUGAAGUGAAUGUGUGUUGUCUUUUAAAGCCGCGUUCAUGUCAUAUUGGAUGGAUGGUAAAGGUGGGGUAGAUUUCCGUGCCAUCAACCCAAAACUCAUGAUGGUUGUAUGGUUACAGAGUUGGUCGUGUGAGGUUUAAAAAUGCGACGCAUGGACAAUAUAAAGAUGAAAUCAGUCUGGAGGGGAUGGUGGUGCACAGAGCUGAAUGCAGCCCGGUCGUCAAUGACAACUACAUGAAGCUGAAGAAGCUGCAGAUAAGAGAGUCUACCAAGCCUCAGCGUUUGUCACAGCAGCUGGAGAGAGCCGUCACUACCGUCUUCAAGCCUGUGGCCAACCAUGACUUCAAUGUGAGAACUAAUCACGG